CUCUGACUCAGCCUUGAGGAACUCUCGUCUGGGAUCUCUGUGUUGCCUAUGUACCCCGGCUGGCCUCAAACUGCUAGUCCUGCCUCAUUCCCUGGAGUAACUGAGACUACAGGCUCGCGCUCCUCUGCCAGACCUGGGUGCUGAGAUUUCACCAGUGAAUAGAGUACUGCAGGGCCACAAUCUGGACCCAGGACUUAAGACACUAACGGUUUCUACUUCCUGUUUCUUGGAACAGUCACUCAUGGCACCCAGAGACAUACUGUGGAGACCGGGGAGCUCCAUGGAGAGGCUCACAUGGAUAGAAAACAGAAUCCUCUUCUCCCUCACAACCCUCCAGCCA